GACGAACGCUGGCGGCGUGCUUAACACAUGCAAGUCGAGCGGUAAGGCCCCUUCGGGGGUCCACGAGCGGCGAACGGGUGAGUAACACGUGAGCAAUCUGCCCAUCACAUCGGGAUAACUCCGGGAAACCGAAGCUAAUACCGAAUACGACCACCUCCGGCAUCGGAUGGUGGUGGAAAGUUCCGGCGGUGAUGGAUGAGCUCGCGGCCUAUCAGCUUGUUGGUGGGGUAACGGCCCACCAAGGCUUCGACGGGUAGCCGGCCUGAGAGGGUGACCGGCCACACUGGGACUGAGACACGGCCCAGACUCCUACGGGAGGCAGCAGUGGGGAAUAUGGGACAAUGGGCGAAAGCCUGAUCCAGCAACGCCGCGUGGGGGAUGACGGCCUUCGGGUUGUAAACCUCUUUCAGCAGGGACGAAGCGCAAGUGACGGUACCUGCAGAAGAAGCACCGGCCAACUACGU
rnacentral:rRNA from 1 species